rnacentral:rRNA from 1 species
GAUGAACGCUAGCUACAGGCUUAACACAUGCAAGUCGAGGGGAAACGACAUCGAAAGCUUGCUUUUGAUGGGCGUCGACCGGCGCACGGGUGAGUAACGCGUAUCCAACCUGCCCAUCACUUGGGGAUAACCUUGCGAAAGUAAGACUAAUACCCAAUGAUAUCUCUAGAAGACAUCUGGAAGAGAUUAAAGAUUUAUCGGUGAUGGAUGGGGAUGCGUCUGAUUAGCUUGUUGGCGGGGUAACGGCCCACCAAGGCAACGAUCAGUAGGGGUUCUGAGAGGAAGGUCCCCCACAUUGGAACUGCGACACGGUCCAAACUCCUACGGGAGGCAGCAGUGAGGAAUAUUGGUCAAUGGGCGAGAGCCUGAACCAGCCAAGUAGCGUGCAGGAAGACGGCCCUAUGGGUUGUAAACUGCUUUUAUAAGGGAAUAAAGUGAGAGUCGUGACUCUUUUUGUAUGUACCUUAUGAAUAAGGACCGGCUAAUUCCGUG